rnacentral:rRNA from 1 species
GGUGCUGCAUGGCUGUCGUCAGGCUCGUGUCGUGAGAUGUUGGUUAAGUCCGUAACGAGCGCAACCCUUGUCCUUAGUUACCAGCACGUUAUGGUGGGCACUCUAAGGAGACUGCCGGUGACAAACCGGAGGAAGGUGGGGAUGACGUCAAGUCAUCAUGGCCCUUACGGCCUGGGCUACACACGUGCUACAAUGGUCGGUACAAAGGGUUGCCAAGCCGCGAGGUGGGGCUAAUCCCAUAAAACCGAUCGUAGUCCGGAUCGCAGUCUGCAACUCGACUGCGUGAAGUCGGAAUCGCUAGUAAUCGUGAAUCAGAAUGUCACGGUGAAUACGUUCCCGGGCCUU